rnacentral:rRNA from 1 species
UACGUAGGUGGCAAGCGUUGUCCGGAUUUAUUGGGUUUAAAGGGUGCGUAGGCGGCCCUGUAAGUCAGUUGUGAAAUACGGCAGCUUAACUGUCGAGGUGCAAUUGAUACUGCAGGGCUUGAGUACAGAUGAGGUAGGCGGAAUUGACGGUGUAGCGGUGAAAUGCAUAGAUAUCGUCAAGAACACCGAUAGCGAAGGCAGCUUACCAAGCUGUAACUGACACUGAGGCACGAAAGUGUGGGGAUCAAACAGG